GCGGGCUGGAACCUCUCGGGGUUACAGCCUUGCUGAAUUAUUCACCCUUGUCUUUUGCGUACUUCUUGUUUCCUUGGUGGGUUCGCCCACCACUAGGACAAACAUAAACCUUUUGUAAUUGCAAUCAGCGUCAGUAACAAAUUAAUAAUUACAACUUUCAACAACGGAUCUCUUGGUUCUGGCAUCGAUGAAGAACGCAGCGAAAUGCGAUAAGUAGUGUGAAUUGCAGAAUUCAGUGAAUCAUCGAAUCUUUGAACGCACAUUGCGCCCUUUGGUAUUCCAAAGGGCAUGCCUGUUCGAGCGUCAUUUGUACCCUCAAGCUUUGCUUGGUGUUGGGCGUCUUGUCUCUAGCUUUGCUGGAGACUCGCCUUAAAGUAAUUGGCAGCCGGCCUACUGGUUUCGGAGCGCAGCACAAGUCGCACUCUCUAUCAGCAAAGGUCUAGCAUCCAUUAAGCCUUUUUUUCAACUUUUGACCUCGGAUCAGGUAGGGAUACCCGCUGAACUUAAGCAUAUCA
rnacentral:rRNA from 1 species